rnacentral:rRNA from 1 species
GAUGAACGCUGGCGGCGUGCCUAAUACAUGCAAGUCGAGCGAACAGACGAGGAGCUUGUUCCUCUGUCGUUAGCGGCGCGCGGGUGAGUCACAUGUGUAUAACGUACCUAUAAUACGGGGAUAACUUCGGGACACCGGCGCUAAUACCGGAUAAUAUAUUGAACCGCAUGGUUCAAUAGAGAAUGACGGUUUUGCGGGCAGUUAUAGAUGGUUCCGCGCCGCAUUGUCUAGUUGGUAAGGUAACGGCCUUCCAAGGCAACGAUGCGUAGCCGACCUGUGGGACUGGUCGGCCACAUUAGAGCUGGGACACGGACCAGACUCCUGCGGGAGGCAGCAGUAGGGAAUCUUCCGCAAUAGGCGAAAGCCUGGCAGAGCAGCGCCGCGUGAGUGAUGAAGGUCUUCGGAUCGUAAAGCUCUGUUAUUGGGGAAGAACAACUGUGGAAGUAACUAUGCAGGUAUUGACGGUACCUGGUCAGAAAGCCACGGCUAACUACGUG